rnacentral:rRNA from 1 species
UAACCGACGGGGAACGGGGACGGUGGCCCCAACGGUAGUAGAUCCAUGAUUGGGGUG